UGCCAGAGUGAGGGCCCAGCUCACUGGAGGUA
rnacentral:piRNA from 1 species